CCUAUCUAGAAGACCCAUACUCACAACAUGGAUAUGAACAUUACUACGAUCCGGAGAGUGGUUCGGGAUACCUUGCAUGGCGAUUGAAGACCAUACA